rnacentral:rRNA from 1 species
UACGAAGGGUGCAAGCGUUACUCGGAAUCACUGGGCGUAAAGCGUGCGUAGGCUGUUUCACAAGUUGGAAGUGAAAGCCCAGGGCUCAACCCUGGAAUUGCUUUCAAAACUGUGAGACUAGAAUCCGGGAGAGGAUAGCGGAAUUUCCAGUGUAGUAGUGAAAUACGUAGAUAUUGGAAGGAACACCAGUGGCGUAAGCGGCUAUCUGGACCGGCAUUGACGCUGAGGCACGAAAGCGUGGGGAUCAAACAGG